rnacentral:lncRNA from 1 species
UGCAGUCUUGACAUUUACAUGUAGAAUAUUCACCGGGAGAGGCAAAAUCUGUAUAACCAAUAUGAUCAUACUCAUAAUAGUAUUAUUUAAAUACUAUAAGAAGGGCAUUAUUAAAACCAAAAACAGCACCACUACCACCACCAACAGCUACAUCACCACUAAGACCAUCAACAACAACAAGCCCACCCCCCAAAAUUGUUUUUCUUGUAAUGGCUGUUGCUCCAAACGAUUCCAUUUUUAUUCUGUCGAUGACCUUAGGAUCUGAUAAAGUUUGUACGGAUCGUAAAGUAAGAAAAAAUGGCAUCUUCAACU